rnacentral:rRNA from 1 species
AACGAACGCUGGCGGCAGGCCUAACACAUGCAAGUCGAACGCUCUAGCAAUAGAGAGUGGCAGACGGGUGAGUAACACGUGGGAAUCUUCCUAUCGGUACGGAAUAGCUCAGGGAAACUUGGGGUAAUACCGCAUACGCCCUUCGGGGGAAAGAUUUAUCGCCGAUAGAUGAGCCCGCGUCUGAUUAGCUAGUUGGUGAGGUAAUGGCUCGCCAAGGCGACGAUCAGUAGCUGGUCUGAGAGGAUGACCAGCCACACUGGGACUGAGACACGGCCCAGACUCCUACGGGAGGCAGCAGUGGGGAAUAUUGGACAAUGGGCGCAAGCCUGAUCCAGCCAUGCCGCGUGAGUGACGAAGGUCUUCGGAUUGUAAAGCUCUUUUGGCGGGGACGAUAAUGACGGUACCCGCAGAAUAAGCCCCGGCUAACUUCGUGCCAGCCGCCGCAGUAACAC